ACUUCUCAAUUUAAAAAAACACUUCAGUUCAGAUUCGAUCCAUGGUCUUCAUUUUGUUUAGCUUGCGCACACAGGCUUUGGAGAGGACCUUGAGCACACAGCCAGGGCCAAGAAGUCCAGUGUUUUUCUUCUCCGCCAAGCUAGUGAGAGGGAAAGAUAAAGCCCAUCAACAGAAGCAGGUGUCCAGAAUCCCACUUCUUUACACAACAGGCAACGAAGUACUAUGAAGGCACCACUGAUCUUGACAAGAGGCACAACAUUUGUAUUGGGCAGAGGUUUUCCCAAAUCAGGGCAAUCACAUGUACCUACGGUGGAAGCCACAUAGGAGGGUGAUUUUCACUGAGGAGAAGGAUGCCGUGCUGACCGAAAUGCACGCUGGCCAUUUCGGAGUGAAGCACAUGAUUGCCAAAAUCAACCUAUGCUUUUUCUGCCGUGGGAUUGUCAAGGAUGUGGGCAGCUGGGAAAGUGGAAUAACCUUUUGUUAAUCAAUCACAUUCUAUUAUAUCUGAAAUGAUUAUGAUUUCAAUGAAUGUCAUUUCAGAGAGCACACAAUGUUUCAAUUUGUAACUUUGUACUUAAAGGUCAGUACCUGUCUAGCCUGCCAGAAGUUUGAGAGUGUGAAGACUGUCGCCGGAGUUGAAGCCCAUCAGUUGUUUCACAUGAUUGCUAACUGUCACAAUAAAAAUGUUGCACUGAUAACUUGUUUUGUAAUGGUUGCUUUAUUUGACUACAGUAGUGUUCAAUAUUAUAACCUCAGACCCUUCACGAAAUCCAGGAAUGGCAACAGCUGGCGUCUGACAGCGAACGAUUACUUUACCAAGUGGGU